rnacentral:rRNA from 1 species
AUGCAGAGGAAGACAAGAGCGGCUGUUCCUGCGAGCUCUACGCAAUCUGAUGUGCAAGCCCGUUGGGUGCCCCCGCCCGAGGGUGUUUACAAGCUUAAUACAGAUGCUGCAGUGGCAAAGUCCUCUAGCAAGGGAGCGGUGGGAGUUAUAUGCAGAGACGGUCAAGGAAAAUUCAUGGGAGCCUCUGUUCAUGUCCUUGAUGGUGUCCUUGACCCGGAACUUCUCGAAGCACAUGCAUGUAGAGAAGCGUUAUCGUUGAGCGAAGAUCUGGGGCUAUCUAAGAUCAAGAUCGCAACUGACUGUCUGAGAGUCGUCAAGGAAAUCACAUCAGGGCAAGCUUUUGGAGGAUAUUGCAUGAUUGUAAAAGAAUUUAAUUCUCGUAGUAGUAGUUUUCGGGCAUGUGAAAUAUGCCAUGAACGGCGCGAGCAAAAUGUUGAAGCUCAUAGAUUGGCUAGGAUGGCAACCACCCUUGUGGCGGGGCGCCAUGUGUGGUUGACGGAACCCCCACCGAACCUGUGUAUCCCUAUAACCUUGCCUUUUUGA